rnacentral:tRNA from 1 species
GGGGACGUAGCUCAACUGGGAGAGCGCCGGCUUUGCAAACCGGAGGUUGCAGGUUCGAUCCCUGUCGUCUCCA